rnacentral:rRNA from 1 species
CCUACGGGUGACAGCAGUGAGGAAUAUUGGUCAAUGGACGCAAGUCUGACCCAGCCAUGCCGCGUGCAGGAAGACGGCUCUAUGAGUUGUAAACUGCUUUUGUACGAGGGUAAACGCAGAUACGCGUAUCUGUCUGAAAGUAUCGUACGAAUAAGGAUCGGCUAACUCCGUGCCAGCAGCCGCGGUAAUACGGAGGAUUCAAGCGUUAUCCGGAUUUAUUGGGUUUAAAGGGUGCGUAGGCGGUCGGAUAAGUUAGAGUUGAAAUCCCGAGGCUCAACUUCGGAAUUGCCUCUGAUACUGUUCGGCUAGAGAGUAGUUGCGGUAGGCGGAAUGUAUGGUGUAGCGGUGAAAUGCUUAGAGAUCAUACAGAACACCGAUUGCGAAGGCAGCUUACCAAGCUACUUCUGACGUUGAGGCACGAAAGCGUGGGGAGCAAACAGGAUUAGAUACCCUUGUAGUC